AUGAGGCGUGCGGCUGAGACGGACAUUUUAAGGUCGUUUGGUGCGUUUGGCGUCUCCAACCCUAUUCAGACAUGUAUGUUCGUUUUGCCAUCCAUUGUCAUUCGAAACGGACAAAAUUUGGACAAAUUGGACGUCCGUUUGAGGUCGUGCGGUGAAGUUGGCCUUAUUACACGUGUAGUGCUGAGCGUCCGGACGGAAACCUUCCGGAGGGAGCCGAGCCACCAGCGAGGUGGCCGUGUCCUCUCCCCUGUUCCAAUGGCGCGCCGCCGCGUGCUCCUCUACCUCAAGCCCUUCGAUGUCUACCCUCCGCGCCCUCUCUCCGGCGCCUCCUCCCUCACCUUCCCGCCACCGCCUCCGCCGCCGCGCGCCGCCAACCCCAAGAUCUUAAGUUAUCUGGAUGAUCGAUGCAGAGUCCACAAGGACACAAUCAAUCUCUGUAAGAGUAUACUACAGCGCAAGCCCCUUGACUGGAUCUCAGUGCAGCGAAAUCAUUUGACAAAUCCAAUACGUGAUGUGGAUCUUGUUAUUACCGUUGGUGGUGAUGGCACACUUUUACGGGCUAGCCAUUUUUUGGAUAGCUCGAUUCCCAUUUUAGGUGUUAAUUCGGAUCCUACUUGUUCUGAUGAGGUUGAUGAGUUAACUGAGGAAUUUGAUGCAAGAAGAAGCACCGGAUAUCUUUGUGCAGCUACUGCCUGGAACUUCGAGCAGAUACUUGACGCAACCCUUGCUGGCAGUAGACACUAUUCAGAGCUGUCAAGAAUAUCAGUGAAACUAAAUGGAUCCCAGCUACCGACUUAUGCUCUGAAUGAUAUAUUGGUGUCACACCCCUGUCCGGCAAGUGUGUCGCGCUUCUCAUUAAGAAAAAGAAGCAAUGGGGAGACCUCACGUUUGAUUAAUUCUAGAUCAAGUGGUCUCAGGGUCGCAACAGCUACUGGAUCAACUGCUGCCAUGCUAUCAGCAGGAGGAUUUAUGAUGCCAAUAUCAAGUCGUGAGCUUCAGUAUAUGAUAAGGGAGCCCAUUUCACCAACGGAUGCCGACAAACCACUGCUGCAUGGAUUAGUUAAGCAAGAGCAACAUAUGCUUGUUGUUUGGUACAAUCAAGAGGGUGCUGUGUAUAUUGAUGGUUCUCAUGUAACAUAUCCAAUCCAGCAUGGGGAUACACUUGAGAUCUCCUCAGAUGCUCCAGUCUUAAAAGUUAUUUUACCAGAAUAUCUGUUAAAGCAGGCAUCUUUAUAA
rnacentral:rRNA from 1 species